AACGCACAUUGCGCCCCUUGGUAUUCCAUGGGGCAUGCCUGUUCGAGCGUCAUUUACACCCUCAAGCUCUGCUUGGUGUUGGAUGUCUGUCCCGCCUCGGUGCGUGGACUCGUCCCAAAGGCAUUGGCAGCGGUCUCUUGCACCUCUCGCGCAGCACAUUGCGCUUCUCGAGGCAGCGAGGUCGCGUCCAUCAAGCUCACAUACCGUCUUUGACCUCGGAUCAGGUAGGGAUACCCGCUGAACUUAA
rnacentral:misc_RNA from 1 species